rnacentral:rRNA from 1 species
UGGGGAAUAUUGCACAAUGGGGGAAACCCUGAUGCAGCAACGCCGCGUGCGGGAUGACGGCCUUCGGGUUGUAAACCGCUUUCAGCCAUGACGAAGCUUUUGUGACGGUAGUGGCAGAAGAAGCACCGGCUAACUACGUGCCAGCAGCCGCGGUGAUACGUAGGGUGCGAGCGUUGUCCGGAAUUAUUGGGCGUAAAGAGCUUGUAGGCGGUUUGUCGCGUCGAAAGUGUAAACUCAGUGCUUAACGCUGAGCCUGCUUUCGAUACGGGCUGACUAGAGGAAGGUAGGGGAGAAUGGAAUUCCCGGUGGAGCGGUGGAAUGCGCAGAUAUCGGGAGGAACACCAGUAGCGAAGGCGGUUCUCUAGACCUUUCCUGACGCUGAGAAGCGAAAGCGUGGGUAGCAAACAGG